CUACGGGAGGCAGCAGUGGGGAAUAUUGCACAAUGGGCGAAAGCCUGAUGCAGCGACGCCGCGUGAGGGAUGAAGGCCUUCGGGUUGUAAACCUCUUUCAGCAGGGACGAAGCGCAAGUGACGGUACCUGCAGAAGAAGCACCGGCUAACUACGUGCCAGCAGCCGCGGUAAUACGUAGGGUGCGAGCGUUGUCCGGAAUUACUGGGCGUAAAGAGUUCGUAGGCGGUUUGUCGCGUCGUUUGUGAAAACCCGGGGCUCAACUUCGGGCUUGCAGGCGAUACGGGCAGACUUGAGUGUUUCAGGGGAGACUGGAAUUCCUGGUGUAGCGGUGAAAUGCGCAGAUAUCAGGAGGAACACCGGUGGCGAAGGCGGGUCUCUGGGAAACAACUGACGCUGAGGAACGAAAGCGUGGGUAGCAAACAGGAUUAGAUACCCUGGUAGUCCACGCCGUCGGUGGGCGCUAGGGUGUGGGUUCCUUCCACGGAAUCUGUGCCGUAGCUAACGCAUUAAGCGCCCCGCCUGGGGAGUACGGCCGCAAGGCUAAAACUCAAAGAAAUUUUGACGGA
rnacentral:rRNA from 1 species